CCCUCUGUGGUUUCGGUUUCCAGCUGGGCGGGGACCUCAGACCACAGUUCCCCACAAGGAGCUGGGUUAGGUUGGUCACCCAUCUGCCUGUCAGCAUACCCAGGAACUGAGCCUCUGGGUGCCCCAGAAAAAGGGCAGGGAGGAAGGGGAGCGGGGCAAGGCCAGCUUCCGCCCCCCUGCAGCCCCUCCCCUGGCCCAGGCCCCCAGGACACGAGCAGAUAAACGAGGCCUCCCUGAGGGGUGCGCCCUGCUCCUGGCAGGGCCUUGGAGGACCCUGGGAGGAAGUGGGCGGGUGAUAGAGGGCGCCUGGGUGGGGGUGAGCUUCCCAUCCUGGGAGUGUGCAAGCAGAGGCUGGACCCCCGUGAGUCCUGCCUCGGGCUGCUGUCCUUGCAGGACUUUGGGAGAGAGGCUGUAUAUAAACUUCUCUAUCGAAACACUGUCUUACGAAACAUCUUUCGAAAUGUUCUGUGACAUCAAAAUUUUCCAAAAAGCCACUUGAUUUUCGAUGCUUCAGCGGCACAGAUGAGUAAUUUAGAGCGGAGUGUGCAGGGGGAGGGGGCUGGGCCCCUCUCUGCACCCACAUUGAGGCUCUGUCGGAACACGAAUCUGUGAUUAAACCUCCUGAUGUGACCCUGGGGCUGUGCUCGUGGGCGGCUGGACCCAGUGCAGCCGGGGGGGAGGCACGUGGUGAGCCCCCAGUCUGGGUCCCUUCUGGGCCAGCUGGGCCAGCGGGGUCCCCCGCUGCAGUCCUCCAGGGCUGCCUGGGCACAGCUCCCCUCUCGUGCUGAAAUCACCCCUCUUCCACAUCUCAUCAUGUGGGUCCUCAGGGCGCUCGGGGGCCUCAGCUGGGGAGGACAGGUGCCCAGACAGCUGUCACCGUGUCUGCGGUGAGACCUUGGCCUUCUAGAAGCCAGCAGAGUGCGGCCUGUGCUAGCCGGCAGCUCUGCCACCUCCUUCCUCUCCCUGUUCAGAGCAGGGGCAGCCAGGACCCCUCAUCUACCCCUGUGCCCUCAGCUGCCCCUUGGCACCAGGAAUCCUGCCUCGUGUCCACAGGGGCAGGAGGGGGCCCCCAACAUCCCAGCCUGUGCUUUGAGCUGGUGAAGCCAAGCUGCAGCCUGAGGGGCCAGCGGGAGUGGAAGUCCUGGAUAGGGGUGGGAGUCGGGCCGUGGGCUGGGGCUGGCCGCCUGGACCCGCCCUCCUGCAGAGACGAGCCAGUCACCACCGUGCUGGCCUCACUUCUGGAACUGUCUGCCUCUGACUUGGAAGCAGAUGUCCUGACCUUUUCCCAGAGGUCAGAGCUGGCUCCUUGAUCUGGCCUGCCGAGUGCCGACCCUGCAUGUUUCCCCACAUCAGCCCCUCUGUGGGCAAGAACGAGGCUUCCUUGGGGACUGGGCUGCUGGGGACUGAGCGCGGCUCAGACCCCCUCAAGUCCAAGCCUCUGAUUGAGGCCCCCUUGCCCUGGGCCCGCUGCCUGGGCAGGGAGCCUGGCCCACUUGGGGAGCCGUCCACACCUGCCCCAGGAAGCCUGUUUCCACUCCCUCCGGCUCUGACAGCCAGUCAGAGAUAGGAAAUGACAUCUGGAGGGGAAGUGCUGGCCUCGCCCAGCUCCCUGACCCUCAGCCCCUCGCCUGUCCCCUCUGGCACCCAGGGCGGCCACCCCUCCUGAGGGCAGGGCAGGCUCGUGGGAGCCAGCAGGGUGCAGAAAGCAGCAGCUUCUGUCGGAGGCGCUGGGCUGGGGGAUAGACCCCCACCCUGCACGGACCCUGUGCCAAGGGUCCCGCCGUGAGCUGCCCAGGCCGCUCCUGUCUGUGUCCACGGGGGGUGUGUGUGCGCAGGUGUGCAAGUGUGUGCGCAUGUCUGCUGGUGCAUACGUGCAUCUGUGUAACGGUCUUUGCUGGCCAGUGACCUUCUUGUUUCUCCCUCUUCCUGCCCUCAUCUAAUAAUUACUCGAUUAAUAGAAAGCUGUUUUGUCAGGGGAGCCGACUGACAGAGCUCCCCAUGGCCAUGGCUGGGAUGCUUUGAGCAACAGAAUAAAUAACAGAUUGAUGACAACCCACGAUGUUAAACAGACAUCCGCAAUACGUGCUGGCCCAGCGGAAGGAUGAACACACCAGUGGGAGGGGAGGGAGACUGCCUGUGCAGGAGAAUCCCAAGGAACGUGUGUGGAUUCUCCCCUGUUGGUGGGGAGCACCUCCUUCCGGCCCCUCCUCGGGCUCCGGCAAGCGCCCCUCAGCCAGGCGAUCGCGGGCUGUGUCCAUGGGCCGCGACGGGCAGGCGCUUCACUCCUGCAUCUUCCUGCCCAAAUGCACAGCCCUGGUCUGACUGCAGCACAGACACCCGGCAAACCCCAGCAGAGGGGUGUCCUCCUGUACCCCUGACCCCCACACGGCCAAGGUCAUCGAAACCGUCAUGGCCCAGAGGAGCCCAAGGAGAUGUGACGACCAAUGGGUGUGGGUCCUGGGAUGGGGCGCAGUACAGAAAAGAGCGAGCAGGCAAGGACUAGCGAAAGCUGAGUGUCGUGUGGGCUCUAGUCAGUAACAGCGGAGUCCUGGGAAGUGAACCGCUGUGACCGACACCCUGCACGCUGCUCAGAUGCUGGUAUUGGGAGGCGGUAGGCCGUGGACGGGGGAGCCUGGUGGGCCGUCUGUGGGGUUGCACACAGUCGGACACGAUUGGAGCGACUUAGCCGCAGCAGCAGCAGCAGGGGCGCGGUGGUAUCGGUGAACUUACCUUUGCAGCUCCUUUGUGGAUCUAGACUACCCUCAGAUAGAGUUUAUUUAAGAACGUGGUGUUAGCUGCCCCCCCGUCUCAGGGCACAGAGGGGACCAGGCUCCUUGGGGUUGGCUCUGCCGGUCCACUUACCGGGGCUUGAACUCUUGGCCCCAGGCCUGGCAGAGCCCCACUUCACUAACUGCUUGUCACCAAGAUGUUCACGGACUCGGUGAUGUCACUGUCCCCCUGUCCCCUUAUCU
ensembl:lncRNA